UGCCGCAGUCCCUCGCCCAGGCUCUCAGGAAGCUGCCGCCGCCACUCCUCCUGCCGGUUAUAGUGCUCUUCAUCCAGCGAGAGCCGGUCCAUAUUUCGGGCCAGGCUGGUGGCCAAGUUGGUGAUGGAUGUCAAGGAAACAAAGAGUUAUGGUUCUCUUCAAACUUAAUGAAGAUCAGAUUUGAUUGGGAGAAACCCCCUGAAAAUCUUGGCUACAGACAAGAAGAAAAGAAAAAAACAAGAAAGACUACAAGACAAGUGAUGUAUCUGCUCUGAGACCGGAUGAGACACGAGUUGUCUGUUUACAGAGAUGGACAUACAGGUGUCUGUUUACACAGAUGGAACACAUAUUCAGCAUCCAAUUGAUGCCUUACAUUACAUUAGAUCCUAUGCUUCUUCUGGUCCACUGCAGCCAUUACCACCUACAUCCUGUGAUUUUUGAUAUAUUUGAUAAGCAUUUGCACUCUCAAUAUUAUGUCACUAUAAAUAACAAUGAAACGAACAUCUCUGUGUGUAUUCUUAUGUACUGUUUUCAUUUUUUUUUGUUUUUUGUUUUUUUGAUUUUUCGAGACAGGGUUUCUCCGUAGCUUUUUUUGGUUCCUGUCUUGGAACUAGCUCUUCUAGACCAGGCUGUCCUCGAACUCACAGAGAUCCACCUGCCUCUGCCUCCCGAGUGCUGGGAUUAAAGGCGUGCGCCACCACCGCCCAGCUGUUUUCAUUAUUUUUAUUCUGAACUCAUACUUUUCCAAGUGGAAUUUCUAAACCAGUGACUCUCCCCAACGCUGCCGCCUUUAAUACAGCUCCUCAUGCUGUGCUGACCCAGCUCUGAAAGUGUGUCCGUUGCUACUUCAUUAACUGUAACUUUGCUAUUGUUGUGAAUCAUAAUAUAAAUAUAUGAUAUGUAGGAUAUCUGAUAUAUGCCCCCAUGAAAGGGCCAUUCAACCCCAGGUUGAGAACAACUGUUCUAAACCAAAGGAGUUUUGAAGUUUUUAUUAUGUAGAAACUGUUCAAGAAAAUUGUACCAAUUCCUGCUGGUGGGCUUGUCAGAGGAGCGGCAGGUGGCAGUUGAAGUGUGAGGCGUCAGACUACCAGGAGGAAACUCUGGUGGGUGAAUCUCCUUCAGGCAAGGCCACGGGAGUACAGACCCCAGACUGUCUUCUGCUUCUGCUGUGCCUUUACAUGUUUAUUACUACAAUAUUCCUCUGCUAUCGAGCAUGUUGUGAGUGGACUUGAGGAGAUCUCCACUGCCUGUAAUAUACUGUGUUUAUCUCUUGGAAACAUCCCAUCCUACUGGGCAUUUUUCCUGUGGAUUGUCAAGAAGAUGAUCCCUCCCUAAGAUUUACUGUCUAAAUUGAUAAUAAUAAAGAUAGCUCAUACAGAGUUUUCAUGAAUAAAAAUACAAGGAAGUGCUACACAACCAGGACCCAUGAGUUUUUACCCUAGGAGCUCAAGUUAAUGACUAACUAGCCCAGAUAGUUUAAACCCUUUUCAUCUUAAUGUUGGGAGCUGUGCUCACAGGUCUCGGAGGGCAUCACAGCUGAAACAACGCUUUGAAAAUAAACCUAGACUAAGAGGUUUUUGUUGUUUGAGGUGAA